rnacentral:misc_RNA from 1 species
AAGGAUCAUUAUCGAAUAAACUUGAACAGGCUGUCUUGCUGGUUCUCCUCUCGUGGGGGGGUUCAUCGUGCACGUCUGUCUCAUUUUUGUCAUCUCUCCAACUUGUGCACCUCUUGUAGGCUCUGGAGCUCUUGUGGAUUUUCAAUGAGGAUUCGAUUCAGGACUGCUGUUGCACGAUGUGUUGCACAGCUUUGCCUUGCAUCUCCAGGUCUAUGUCUUUUUACAACACACCAUAUGUUUUAGAAUGUUUGCAGAUGAAACAAAAAAAUAUAUACAACUUUCAGCAACGGAUCUCUUGGCUCUC